UCCCAUGUGGCUCUACUGAUAAUCCAGUUCAGAUCAGGCCACAGAGGCCAACCUCUGGUGCUCUUGCAUAUAAUCCCAUGUAUAGUUGCAUACAAAGGCUCCAAGCUACCAAGGUCUCAGUGUGACAUAACAGGAAGCCAAUGUCUCUAAGGAGGCCCCAUGAGCUUGUUAAAUCCCAUGAAAUAAGCUAAUAAGAUGUAUAUUUUAGUCACCUGUUAUGGAUUCUAGCUGAUCCUGUGCAGAUUUCAUGCUCAGAACAAGAAACAUUUUCAUUUUAGAGAUGGGCUUGAAUCAUACUCCUCCUGCUCCCAGACUUCAUUUGCUCGCUGGCUUUCAGCCCUUCUCUGUGCCAUGCAUUGCAGGUGAAAUUGAGCUGGCAGACGUGAGUGGCCAGGCGAAGAAUUUGCUUCAGAACCAACAUUGCUAUGCCUCAGAGCUUCUGAGCGAGAGAGAGAUCUGUGUACUCCUCAGUGUCACACGUGGUGAAGGUUCUUCAGAGGUAGUAUUUACACCACUGCUGAAAGAUGAAGGAGUUAUUAACCCUAAAUUCCUUGCUAAACUUUGGAAAUGGGAAGAUUCCAAAGUCUCUUCUACCAGAGUGAAAUCCAAAAAGGCUGGCAAAAAACCAACACGGCUCUUGGAGGUUCCGUCUCCAGAAGGUAAACGGAGUCCAUCGCCUCAGGGCCACAGGACUAAAACUAUGGUUUCCUCUCCGAAACAAUCCAGGAGACCCUGAUAGUGGCAAAUCCCAAGGGAUGGUUGGUGCUGAGCUGUUGGAGGACCUCUCCUUUCCGGCUGCUAUUUGAAAAUGUUGUUUCAUGUUUGCUGGCUUGUUCCUUGGUGAAGCUCCUGUUGGAUGGGUUGGGUCCAGGAGUCUGGAACACUAGGAACGUUACAUGCAUGUAUUUCCUUUCAUUCUGAAUGAUCCCAAAUUUGCUGUGGAAAAACACUUCCAUUCUCUGCUGGCCAAUUUGAAAGGAAGUGAGAUAACUGCUUCUUUCAGGAUGGCUCACAGAAAAAUGCAAAGUUGCAUCUCAAGAGGGAGUACCAUGAACUACUGAUCUAAGCAUGGGCAUAGAAGGGGAGACCUCCCGAGCUGUAAUCCCUUUAUUGAGCCCCACUACACUGGACCACUGAUUUAUUGUUAUUUCAGCAGCAAAGGUGCAUGACAGACCCAUUUAAAAUCACAGCUCCAUACCCCAAGGAAUGUACAGUCCAGCUAAAACUCUUUUUAGCUGGUGACUAAUCUCACUGAACUAGUACUUCAGUGGGAUUACUCACAUGCUUGGAUUUAGGCACAUGCUUAAGGACCUUGCUGAACAGAGGUUGUAAUCAUCACUUUCUGUGAAACAUACUAUAGUGCUAGAGUGGAAAUUGGCUGACCUUCCUUUUUGUAAGGCCUGGGUCAUGUAUCUUUUGUCCUUGGCUCUUCCUGUGGAUGAUUCAGAUGGAACAGCUCAGAACAUUAGCCUCGCCUGGUGGCUUUCUUUGCACUGCUACAAAAGUGAAAACUAUAGGAGGAUUAUAGCUAGCUGAUCAAGUGAGUUUAUGCAGGCAAAAUAUUCACUGAAGCCUGAGUAAGGACCACAGGUUCAGGCUCUAUAAGAUUACUAGAUUAUUGGAUGUAAACUACAAUAUACAACCUGCACUGAUGUCAUGGUUAAUGUGUAACCUGCUUUAUGGGUACCAGUUGGAGGUUCUUUUGCUGCUUGGCUAUUUUCUCUGUGAUUCAGAAUUUUACUUUGCUCCUUCUGAUUCAUGUAACCUUUGCUUUAUGUUAUGUACUUCAUCCCUUGGUGUGUCAGUGAACCAUUAGGACUGUUUGUGUUGAAUAGCUUUUAUACAUGGUUUCCCUUACAGAGAGAGGAAACAUUAAAAUAGUCAGUUUCUUUGGAGUUACUCUGCAUUUAUACCAGAUUUCAGAGUAGCAGCCGUAUUAGUCUGUAUUCUCAAAAAGAAAAGGAGUACUUGUGGCACCUUAGAGACUAAGCAAUUUAUUAUCUGGCCCAUGACCCUCAGACUUGUGAAUGUCACUCCAUGGUAGAGCCUGCAGCCCAACAGGACCCAGCCAUGAGUGUCGUGUUUAGGGUGGGUCUGGUCAGAAAACUAUGCAAUUCUCUGACCUUGGGUCACGUCAGCUCUACUCCUCUUGCCCGUGAGGCUGGUGGCUGUGUCUGCAUGCCCCAUUCCUGCUGGAUGCUGCCAUUCUGCUGUAGAGUGAACGUGCUAAGGAGUUGCAGUUCCUCUCAUCCCCCAGCACGGGAGCAGGACAGGCAGCCACCAGCUCAUGUGUCUGUGGCCGCACCAACCCCUGGGCAGCAGUGGUGCUGACUCUGGUUCAGGGGAAAGGUCAGGGUUGGGUGGGAAAACUACUUAACUGGCUCGGAUGGGUGUGGGCCCAUUUCAGGUCUGGGUCAGGCUAACAACUUAAGCCCAAGCAGACCUCUACUCCGUGGUACCAGGAUCAGAUUCAGUUCUCAUUUACACCGGUAUUGAAUCCAGAAUGGGCCAGUCCAGAUGGUCAUAGUGGAUUUCAUUCUAGGAUCUCAAAUACAUUGCUAAGGUGUCAUAUUAUCCCCAUUUUGCCGAUGGAGAGACUUAUGUUGCACAGACAGGUUAAGUGACUUACCCAAGGUUUUGCAGCAGCUCGGUUACAGAAUAGAGGUAGCCCUCCCACUUCUGCACUCUGAUCACCAGACCAUGUUGCCUCUCAUGUUUAAGUACCUCUGCAAAAGAAAAAUGUUCCUGGGUUUAGUGUGAGUGAGGCAAGAUGGACUGAGACUGUUGUCAAGGUGAAACCAUCGUAGCAAAGAGACAAGCCCCUAGUGAUCUAAGGUAUAACAAUGGAGUCCCUGAAAGGCAGGUGCUGUCAGAUGACAGUCAUGCCUCAGGAUGAGAGUCAAGGAAUGUGGUCUCCCCUACAGGCAAGGUCUGCACAACACAGACAUGAUCUUCAGAGGAGUGGAACUUCCAAAGAACACAAGUGAAGUCAAUGGAAGCGGUGGAUGCUUAGCACCUCUGAAAACCAGGCCUUCUGUAUUUAGUGUGACUUCAGCACCUAGACACCAGACUUCCAACAGAGUUCAGCAUCCAAUAGCUAAGAGGUACCUAAAUCUACGGUAAUGGCAGAUACAGGAGGCUGAGUGCUUCUGGAAACACUUGCCACAUAUUUAGAUCCUUAAAUGGGGGCUGAGUAAUCUUGAAAAUGUCUGGAAUGAUACCGUUUGUACUGUGUGGAGGGGUGUUUUGUUGACCAAUUUCUGUGUAUAUACUGAGGGUGAAAUCCUGUCCCCACUGACUUCAAUGAGGCCUAGAUUUCACCACAAAUGCUGUUAAUCUAUACAAUGAGUUGGUGGGGGAGGUGGUUAUGUUGUUGCAUGUGCUUAUUUUGUACCUCAGUGCAACUAGGGUUAGUUUGGAUCGUUUGGCAAACAGUGACCAGCUUGCAUGUGCACUGAGUAACUGUAUGCACCUAAUAUAUGUCCUGUCUGUUCCAUCCUCACUCAUGUAAAUAUAGAUGCUAGUCCUAUUAAGUAUCUCAGUAGACUAGGCAUUUCAUAGCUAAAACAUCAUCAUAAAACAAUCAGGGUGAGGACCAUACUUUUUAUUAAGGAAAUUAGGAUGUCUGUAAGACAAAUGACAGCAUGUUAAAACAAUUCUGGGGCCAGCUUCUCUCCCCACAGGUGGCUCAAGUUGGGCAUCUAAAAGUAGUGAACAUUUCUGACAAUGUUGCCAUUUGUGUCCUGGUGUCCCUCUCUGUAAAAUAAGGAUGAUAGUUAUUUGUGUCACAGAGGUUCAGAGAGGAUGAAUUAAUUAACCAUUCUAAAGCCCUUUGAAAAUGAGAAGUGCUACAAAAUGAUAAUUACAGGUUUCAGAGUAACAGCCGUGUUUGUCUGUAUUCGCAAAAAGAGAAGGAGUACUUGUGGCACCUUAGAGACUAACCAAUUUAUUUGAGCAUAAGCUUUCGUGAGCUACAGCUCACUUCAUCGGUGCCACAAGUACUCCUUCUUUUUUUGAAAAUGCUAAUUGUUACCUGAAACUGCUGGCCUUAUCUAUGAUAUUUCCAUUUCCCCCCACUCCUUUAAGUCUCUCCUUAAAAUACCCUUCUUCCAGGUGGCCUAAAACCACUAGUCUCUCAGCUGUAUGGAAACAUGAACAAAAAGAUGACAUAAUUAAAGAGAUUUUAAUAGGAUAAACAAAUAAGAUGUGCUAUACUUCACUGCUGGAUAUGCUUGUUUUUUUCUUGCAUUCUAUCCUUCAUCUUUGGUCUGUCCAUUGUCUAUGUGGGGCAGGGACCUUUUCUCUUUAUUAUCUGUAAAGUUCCCCGUACUGUUUUGGCAUUAUAUGUGUAAGAAGCAGAGAUGAAAUUCUGUCCCCCUUGAAAGCAAUGGGAGUUUUUCCCAUUGUCAUCUUUGGGGCCAGGACUUCACUCCAUGUUUCUAGGGAACUUAGAUAGUCAAGUAUAAGAGGGGUAGCAUCUGAAGAAGUGGUGUUUUUUACCCACAAAAGCUUAUGCCCAAA